GAUGAGGUAAUAGUUCUUCAUUGCUGUGUUUCUUGUGUAAAUAUUAUUUCUAAACUUUCAUAAUACUUUAAAAGUUAAAACAUUAAUGUUGUAGGUAUAAGUGAUGUGUUGUUUUAAGUAUUUUUUAUGCACAGUUUUGUUAAGUAAGGAUUAGAGCGUCGAAUGUUUGAAAUGUUUGGUCAUAAUCACACAUGGUAUUUACGCAGGUAUCACUCCGCCAGAAAAGUAGAGACCUGUGUAUGUGUUUCAUGUUUCCAACGAAGGUAUGUGGAUUUGUGUAUUAUUAUUAUAUUUUUGGGAUAAAACGUUUUUGUUAUUGUAAUUUAAAUUAUUAUUUUUAUAUGAAUGACUGUUAUUUACUUUCUCUUCUAUCGGACUUUUGAUGAUGAGGUAUCACUCCGCCAGAAAAGUAGAGACCUGUGUAUGUGUUUCAUGUUUCCAACAAAGGUAUGUGGAUUUGUGUAUUAUUUUUUUUUGUUGUUGUGAUAAAACGUUUUUGUUAUUGUAAUUUCAAUUAUUAUUUUUAUAUGAAUGACUGUUAUUUACUUUCUCUUCUAUCGGACUUUUGAUGGUGAGGUAUCACUCCGCCAGAAAAGUAGAGACCUGUGUAUGUGUUUCAUGUUUCCAACAAAGGUAUCACUCCGCCAGAAAAGUAGAGACCUGUGUAUGUGUUUCAUGUUUCCAACAAAGGUGGCCAAUAAAGGAUGAAACGAUGAAA